rnacentral:rRNA from 1 species
CACUAGGGGAUUCUUACCCAAGGCAGCAAUGCUGAAUAAUGCACAACGGGGGAAACCAUGAGGCAGUAACGUCGCGUAAGUGAUGUAGGUCUUCAGAACGAAAAGCCCUGUUAUCUGUUCAUACAUUGACGGUAUCUAACCAGAAAGCCACGGCUAACUACGUGCCAGCAGCCGCGGUAAUACGUAGGUGGCAAGCGUUGUCCGGAUUUAUUGGGCGUAAAGCGAGCGCAGGCGGUUUUUUAAGUCUGAUGUGAAAGCCCCCGGCUCAACCGGGGAGGGUCAUUGGAAACUGGAAGACUUGAGUGCAGAAGAGGAGAGUGGAAUUCCAUGUGUAGCGGUGAAAUGCGUAGAUAUAUGGAGGAACACCAGUGGCGAAGGCGGCUCUCUGGUCUGUAACUGACGCUGAGGCUCGAAAGCGUGGGGAGCAAACAGGAUUAGAUACCCUGGUAGUCCACGCCGUAAACGAUGAGUGCUAAGUGU